rnacentral:rRNA from 1 species
UACCCGCUGAACUUAAGCAUAUCAAUAAGCGGAGGAAAAGAAACUAACAAGGAUUCCCCUAGUAACUGCGAGUGAAGCGGGAAAAGCUCAAAUUUUGAAUCUGGCGGUCUUUUGGCCGUCCGAGUUGUAAUCUAGAGAAGUGUUUUCCGCGCUGGACCGUGUAUAAGUUUCCUGGAAUGGAACGUCGUAGAGGGUGAGAAUCCCGUCUUUGACACGGACUACCAGGGCUAUGUGAUGCGCUCUCGACGAGUCGAGUUGUUUGGGAAUGCAGCUCAAAUAGGGUGGUAAAUUCCAUCUAAAGCUAAAUACAGGCGAGAGACCGAUAGCGAACAAGUACCGUGAGGGAAAGAUGAAAAGAACUUUGGAAAGAGAGUUAAACAGUACGUGAAAUUGCUGAAAGGGAAACGCUUGAUGUCAGUCGCGUCGGCCGGGGAUCAGCCUUGCUUUACCGCUCGGCGUACUUCCUGGUCGACGGGUCAGCAUCAGUUUUGACCGUCGGAAAAGGACUGGAGGAAUGUGGCACUCUUUCGGGAGUGUGUUAUAGACUCUGCUCGAAUACGAUGGUUGGGACUGAGGAACUCAGCACGACCUUAGGGUUCGGGGCUUCGGCCUACGUUCGCGUGCUUAGGAUGCUGGCAUAAUGGCCUUAAGCGACCCGUCUUGAAACACGGACCAAGGAGUCUAACGUGCAUGC